AUUGAACGCUGGCGGCAGGCCUAACACAUGCAAGUCUAGCGGAGCGGCGGUCGGGUGAGUAAUGCCUAGGAAUCUGCCUCGUAGUGGGGGAUAACGUCCGGAAACGGGAGCUAAUACCGCAUACUAUUAGAUUAGCCUAGGUCGGAUUAGCUAGUUGGUGGGGUAAAGGCCUACCAAGGCGACGAUCCGUAACUGGUCUGAGAGGAUGAUCAGUCAAACUGAAACUGAGACACGGGCCAGACUCCUACGGGAGGCAGCAGUGGGGAAUAUUGGACAAUGGGCGAAAGCCUGAUCCAGCCAUGCCGCGUGUGUGAAGAAGGUCUUCGGAUUGUAAAGCACUUUAAGUUAGGAGGCGUUACCAACAGAAUAAGCACCGGCUAACUACGUGCCAGCAGCCGCGGUAAUUC
rnacentral:rRNA from 1 species